rnacentral:tRNA from 1 species
GGUGGCACAGUGGGUAAGAGCUUAGGCUGCUAACCAAAAGGUUGGUAGUUCGAAUCUACCAGCCA